CCCUUAGAUGUUCUGGGCCGCACGCGUGCUACACUGAUGCAUUCAACGAGUCUAAAACCUGGUCUGAUAGGGCUGGGUAAUCUUUUGAAAGUGCAUCGUGAUUGGGAUAGAUGAUUGCAAUUUUUCAUCUUCAACGAGGAAUGCCUAGUAAACGCAAGUCAUCAGCUUGCAUUGAUUACGUCCCUGCCCUUUGUACACACCGCCCGUCGCUCCUACCGAUUGAAUGAUCCGAUGAAUAUCAUGGAUUGAGGAUUAUAGCAGGUUCGCCUGUCUUGAUCUUCGAGAAGUGAAGUAAAUCUUAUCAUUUAGAGGAAGGAGAAGUCGUAACA
rnacentral:rRNA from 1 species